UGUAAGUCUUGAAACACAAAGAACACAAGUCCUCUCCCUUUGGAGGCACAAAACCGAAACUAGGACAAGAUCUAGUAUGGAAUCACUAGUGAUUUAGUGAUUGCUUGGAAACGCUGGCGCUAGAGAGGUGGACUCCAAUCUUGUGUCACGUAAGAGAUGGGUGAAUCGUUGUGUGUAUUGUUAAAGGUCCUAGAGUGGAAUAGGCUCUUGGGUUUUUAAAAUUAUACCAUCGUGUAGUCUAUCUAUCUAUCUCUUUUCUUUUACUGUAAUCUUGUAGUGGUU
rnacentral:lncRNA from 1 species